rnacentral:tRNA from 2 species
UCAUAGCUCAAUUGGAUAGAGCAUUUGACUACGGAUCAAAAGGUUGCGGGUUCAACUCCUACUGGG